rnacentral:rRNA from 1 species
CGCCAGAAUUUCUUCUGGUAGGAUCUGCCCACUGAGCAUUAAAUGGCCGCAGUACCCUGACUGUGCUAAGGUAGCAUAAUAAUUCGUCUUUUAAUUAAAGGCUAGUAUGAAUGAUUUGACGAAAGAAAAUCUGUCUUAGCUUAUUAAAAAAAAAUUAACCUAGAAGUUAAAAGGCUUCUAUUUCCUAAAAGGACGACAAGACCCUAUAAAGCUUUAUUUAUAAUAUUUUUAUUUACUUCAAUAAAAAAAUAUGAAUUUAUAAAUUCUAUUGGGGCGAUAGAUAAAUAAACAUUAUUGACUAUAACGUUUUUAACGAAAUUUAUAAAAUGUUUUUAAAACCUACAACAAGUUACUUUAGGGAUAACAGCAUAAUUUCUUUUUAGAGUCCUUAUCGACAAAGAAGAUUAUGACCUCGAUGUUGAAUUGAGUUACUAUUUUUAUGGAGAUAUAAAAAGUAGAAGUCUGUUCGACUUUUAAUUUCUC